rnacentral:rRNA from 1 species
GGACCCGACCGCUAUCGGGGUAGGGCUAAGCCAUGCGAGUCGCGCGCCCGGGGGCGCCCGGGAGCGGCGCACGGCUCAGUAACACGUGCCCAACCUACCCUCGGGAGGGGGACACCCCCGGGAAACUGGGGCCAAUCCCCCAUAGGGGAAGGGCGCUGGAAGGCCCCCUCCCCGAAAGGACGGCGGCCGAUCCGCCGCCGCCCGCCCGAGGAUGGGGGCACGGCCCAUCAGGUAGUUGGCGGGCUAAAGGCCCGCCAAGCCGAAGACGGGUAGGGGCGGUGAGAGCCGCGAGCCCCGAGAUCGGCACUGAGAUAAGGGCCGAGGCCCUACGGGGUGCAGCAGGCGCGAAUACUCCGCAAUGCGGGCAACCGCGACGGGGCUACCCCGAGUGCCGGGCGAAGAGCCCAGCUUUUGCCCGGUCUAAAAAGCCGGGAGAAUAAGCGGGGGGCAAGUCUGGUGUCAGCCGCCGCGGUAAUACCAGCUCCGCGAGUGGUCGGGGUGUUUACUGGGCUUAAAGCGCCCGUAGCCAGCCCGGCAAGUCGCUCCUGAAAUCCCAGGGCUCAACCCUGGGGCGGGGGGCGAUACUGCCGGGCUAGGGGGCGGAAGAGGCCGCCGGUACUCCGGGGGUAGGGGCGAAAUCC